GAGACGGAUAAAAAAGAAAGUGAAUUUUUAAAAAUUCUUUGAUAGAUUGGGACGAAUUGAAAGAAGAAAAGAAUCUUUCACCUCUUACUUUAUUUACUUAGCGGAUCAAAACAGAUUCGAAACGAGAUAUAAUUUUUAUAUAUUUUUUAUUCCUACUUAUUGUCUUAUUCGGAACAGGAGCUCCAUCAAUUCGGAUCUGUUUGCAUCCCUAUUAAGGU
rnacentral:lncRNA from 1 species